GAUGAACGCUGGCGGCGUGCCUAAUACAUGCAAGUCGAGCGAACAGACGAGGAGCUUGCUCCUCUGACGUUAGCGGCGGACGGGUGAGUAACACGUGGAUAACCUACCUAUAAGACUGGGAUAACUUCGGGAAACCGGAGCUAAUACCGGAUAAUAUAUUGAACCGCAUGGUUCAAUAGUGAAAGACGGUUUUGCUGUCACUUAUAGAUGGAUCCGCGCCGCAUUAGCUAGUUGGUAAGGUAACGGCUUACCAAGGCAACGAUGCGUAGCCGACCUGAGAGGGUGAUCGGCCACACUGGAACUGAGACACGGUCCAGACUCCUAAGGGAGGCAGCAGUAGGGAAUCGUCCGCAAUGGGCGAAAGCUUGACGGAGCAACGCCGCGUGAGUGAUGAAGGUCUUCGGAUCGUAAAACUCUGUUAUUAGGGAAGAACAAAUGUGUAAGUAACUAUGCACGUCUUGACGGUACCUAAUCAGAAAGCCACGGCUAACUACGUG
rnacentral:rRNA from 1 species